AUGCAUUCAUAUAGAAGCGUAUUCACAUUGUUCAAAAAACUUUGUAGUCUCAACGAUGAUGCAUACAUGUCAACUAUGGGUGUUGGCUCCAAUAAUUCGCAUUGGUCUCAAACCAAUGACAUGCAUUUUGAAGACCAUGAGUUCGAGGUGGACGAGGAGGGUGAGGGCAUUGUCGAUGCGCCAAAAGAAAGAGCGGGCAAUUACACCAACACCGAUGACAUCUUACUAUGCAAUACUUGGUUGCAAGUGUCGAGGGAUCCAUCCGUUGGAGGUGAUCAAAGUAGAGAUGAUUAUUGGGGGCGGAUGAAAGAACACUAUGAUGUUCACAACAUGAGUGGAAUUGACCGCUCCGAGAGAUCACUUCAGUCCCGGUGGUCGACAAUCAACUCGGAUUGUCAAAGGUGGGCGGCUUGUCAAAAGGCAGUUGACAAGUUGAACCCAAGUGGCACAAAUGAGGACGAUAGAGUAAGUGGCAUUUCCAUACAUGUUCAUCAUACUUGUUGUUGGUGUUCCAAGUGCUAA
rnacentral:rRNA from 1 species